rnacentral:rRNA from 1 species
UACGAAGGGGGCGAGCGUUGUUCGGAAUUACUGGGCGUAAAGCGAGUGUAGGCGGUCUUGUAAGUCGGGUGUGAAAGCCCCGGGCUCAAACCCGGGAAGUGCACUCGAAACUGCGAGGCUAGAGUAUCGGAGAGGUUGGUGGAAUUCCCGGUGUAGCGGUGAAAUGCGUAGAGAUCGGGAGGAACAUCAGUGGCGAAGGCGGCCAUCUGGGACAACACUGACGCUGAGGCACGAAAGCGUGGGGAGCAAACAGGG